AACGGCUGGCGGCGUGCCUAAUACAUGCAAGUCGAACGGCUUUUCUAUGGAAGCUUGCUUCCACUGAGAAGAUAGUGGCGAACGGGUGAGUAACACGUGGGUAACCUACCCAUAAGAGGGGGAUAACAUCCGGAAACGGGUGCUAAUACCGCAUAGUUUUCUUGAUCGCAUGAUCGGGAAAGGAAAGACGGCCUUUGUGCUGUCGCUUAUGGAUGGACCCGCGGCGUAUUAGUUAGUUGGUGAGGUAACGGCUCACCAAGACGAUGAUACGUAGCCGACCUGAGAGGGUGAUCGGCCACAUUGGGACUGAGACACGGCCCAAACUCCUACGGGAGGCAGCAGUAGGGAAUCUUCCGCAAUGGACGAAAGUCUGACGGAGCAACGCCGCGUGAGUGAAGAAGGUUUUCGGAAUCGUAAAACUCUGUUGUCAGAGAAGAACAAGUUGGAGAGUAACUGCUCCAGCCUUGACGGUAUCUGACCAGAAAGCCACGGCUAACUACGUGCCAGCAGCUGC
rnacentral:rRNA from 1 species